GGCGGCGGCGGCGUGGAAGCGGCAAGCGGCGGGCGACGGCGGCGCUCGGCUGAUUCUUCUGGCCGUGGCGCUCUCUCCUGUACUGCCGCCGCACGAGGAGCGCCGUCCGCGUCAUAGCCCGCCCUCGCGCUCGCCGCUGAUUGGCCGCCGUCCGUCGGCCUGGCGCAUCACAACCGCCUCCGCCCUCGCCACGCCGCCUCCCCAUUGGCUGCGGCAGCACACGGCCUCCCCCCGCUGUCUCGUUUCCUGCGGCCUGGGGAGGCGGGGCCUCGAGGGGGCGGAGCGUCGAGCCGGUGCUGGGGUCGCGAGGAUGGAGAAAGCUAGCGAGGCGGGGGGCGGCUCCCGGGGGGGGGGGCUCCCCGAGUGGGGGGCGGGGGCUGCGCGGCCCUUGAACCUCGGGGGAGCCGGAACUUGGCUUUGGUGGCCGAAACUUUGUUUGACCCCUCGAAUCCUGCAGGACAUCAGAGGCCGGGGCCUGGUAGCGGGCAGUUAGGAAGCCGGUCCCUGGAGGCUGGCUUCUCUUUCCGCAUGACCUUGGGCGAGGCACCUCCUUCUGCAGCUCCGUGCGUGUGUUUUUAUAACACUUCCUAGCGCCGGCUCAGCUCCCUGCGAGGCGCGGCCACGCCCCGUCCAAGCUGGAGCCUGAGAAAUUAUUGUCCCCGGGUCACGCCCGAAAGGGGGAAGAAGCGACUGGUUCAAGGCCGCACAGCUGGCCGCCUCGGAGCCCUCUGAAGCCUCCUGCAGCCUCAGUUUCCCUGUCCGUGGUGCUGAGGAUGCCAGGGCCUAGAGGCUCGGGGCGGGCGGAGCGGCAUCCCCGCAGCCGCCCUGAGUACUGGCCAAAGAUCCUGUUUUUACCGGGCAUGAGCUGGGACAAGAGGGUUCCCUGGCUGCUUAGGAAAUUCAGCGCCUGGCAUGCAGGAAAUGGCUUCUACGUGGGGAUUUCACAGUCUUCGGGAAGAAAACAUCUCUCUUUAGCAGUGUGCACUUGGCUGAACUUGCUCCAAGAAAAAUGCGCUCAUUGAACAAAAGGAUUAUGAUGAAAGGGGACUUUUGUCAAGGCAGCUGUGGAGGUGGGCCUGGACAUUGAACUGGAGGGAGCUGGGAGCCAUCCAGCAUGGAGGAGGGGGCAGAGUAGGAGUCCCAUUGGAUGUUGGAAAAGCUGAGAAAUCAAGGUCUCCAGUCAGGCCAUUUAGAUAAGGGAGCCAAGGACUUUGUCUAAAAAUACCAGCCCUCAGAUGGUGGGGCUGUGUCUACGGUCUGCCCAGGUGACAGGCCUUUAUCCCAGUGUCCCGUGACAGCAGCCUGGUAAUCCCAGAGGAACGCCAGAAACCUGGCCAGGAGGAAGGGGCACAGGAAGUAGGGGUUGAGCCUCUGUCAUUUCCAGCCUGGUUUAGGCUACUAGAACCCACAGACCCCUUUAUGGGAUCGCAGUUCCCUGUGGGAAUAAAAAAUUGCCUCAUUAAAAGUGUUGGAAAGUUA